CUCCAGUAAUAAAAUAAUAUACAUGUUGUUUCUUAUCUUGCUGUUAUCUAUUGUAUAAGAAGUAAAUGUGUCCGUUUCGUAUAGUCUAAUAAGUCUAUAGAUAUAUUGCUUGAUGAUAAAAUGUCGUAAGUUAUAGGAUAUAGGUUUAUUAGCUUUGGAAGUGUUAUAGUCCCUAUCACGAACGUCGCGAAUAACUAUAUAUGUCGACGGCAUAUGUCUGAUACAAACAUAGUGAGCUAUAAAUUGUACGCUGUAUUGAGUGUAAAGACUGUAAAGUGGCCAACGCUCGAGUCUCAAAUUUUGCUAUUUUAUCUCAG